rnacentral:rRNA from 1 species
GUCCCAAGGGUUGGGCUGUUCGCCCAUUAAAGCGGUACGCGAGCUGGGUUCAGAACGUCGUGAGACAGUUCGGUCCCUAUCCGUCGUGGGCGCAGGAAAUUUGAGAGGAUCUGUCCUUAGUACGAGAGGACCGGGAUGGACAUACCUCUGGUGUACCAGUUGUUCUGCCAAGAGCACCGCUGGGUAGCUACGUAUGGAUUAGAUAAUCGCUGAAAGCAUCUAAGUGAGAAACUAACCUCGAGAUGAGAUUUCCCAUUCGUCAGAAGUAAGACCCCUGAGAGACGAUCAGGUAGAUAGGCUAGAAGUGGAAGUGUAGUGAUGCAUGGAGCGGACUAGUACUAAUAGGUCGAGGACUUAACCAAG